rnacentral:rRNA from 1 species
CGCUGGCGGCAGGCCUAACACAUGCAAGUCGAGCGGAUGACAGGAGCUUGCUCCUGAAUUCAGCGGCGGACGGGUGAGUAAUGCCUAGGAAUCUGCCUGGUAGUGGGGGACAACGUUUCGAAAGGAACGCUAAUACCGCAUACGUCCUACGGGAGAAAGCAGGGGACCUUCGGGCCUUGCGCUAUCAGAUGAGCCUAGGUCGGAUUAGCUAGUUGGUGGGGUAAUGGCUCACCAAGGCGACGAUCCGUAACUGGUCUGAGAGGAUGAUCAGUCACACUGGAACUGAGACACGGUCCAGACUCCUACGGGAGGCAGCAGUGGGGAAUAUUGGACAAUGGGCGAAAGCCUGAUCCAGCCAUGCCGCGUGUGUGAAGAAGGUCUUCGGAUUGUAAAGCACUUUAAGUUGGGAGGAAGGGCAUUAACCUAAUACGUUAGUGUUUUGACGUUACCGACAGAAUAAGCACCGGCU